GGAUGUGAGGGCGAUCUGGGUGCGACAACUGCCACCCAUUGAUCGCCAGGGUUGA
rnacentral:snRNA from 1 species